AUUGAACGCUGGCGGCAGGCCUAACACAUGCAAGUCGAACGGUAACAGGAAGCAGCUUGCUGCUUCGCUGACGAGUGGCGGACGGGUGAGUAAUGUCUGGGAAGCUGCCUGAUGGAGGGGGAUAACUACUGGAAACGGUAGCUAAUACCGCAUAAUGUCGCAAGACCAAAGAGGGGGACCUUCGGGCCUCUUGCCAUCGGAUGUGCCCAGAUGGGAUUAGCUUGUUGGUGGGGUAACGGCUCACCAAGGCGACGAUCCCUAGCUGGUCUGAGAGGAUGACCAGCCACCCUGGAACUGAGACACGGUCCAGACUCCUACGGGAGGCAGCAGUGGGGAAUAUUGCACAAUGGGCGCAAGCCUGAUGCAGCCAUGCCGCGUGUAUGAAGAAGGCCUUCGGGUUGUAAAGUACUUUCAGCGGGGAGGAAGGGAGUAAAGUUAAUACCUUUGCUCAUUGACGUUACCCGCAGAAGAAGCACCGGCUAACUCCGUG
rnacentral:rRNA from 1 species